rnacentral:rRNA from 1 species
GACGAACGCUGGCGGCGUGCCUAAUACAUGCAAGUAGACCUUAGUGGCGGACGGGUUAGUAAUGCCUAGGCAUCGGCCUGGUAGUGGGGGAUAACGUCCGGCAACGGGCGCUAAUACCGCAUACUAUCAGAUGAGCCUCGGUCGGCUUAGCUAGUUGGUGGGGUAAAGGCCUACCAAGGCGACUAACCGUAACUGGUCUGAGGGGCUGAUCAGUCACACUGUAACGGAGCCACGGUCCAGACUCCUACGGUAGGUGGCAGUGGGGAAGAUUGGACAAUGGGCGAAAGCCUGAUCCAGCCAUGCCGCGUGUGUGAAGAAGGUCUUCGGAUUGUAAAGCACUUUAAGUUGGGAGGCGUUACCAACAGAGUAAGCACCGGCUAACUUCGUGCCAGCAGCCGCGGUAAUAC